GGAUACUUCAUUCAUCCAGGUCGUGUCGUCUGAAAUAGAAACAGUCCAAUCCCAAAGUUGGUUUUGUGUGCGUGUGUGUAUGCUGGGUUUUAUCUCCACCACCAUUCCCUCCCUUCCUCUUCUCUCUGCACUGUCUCUCCUUUGUGCAUCUUGGACUCCUGAAGGCCACUCAGAGCAUAGAUGCGCCAGCUUAGUUCUUUGGAGAAGCAGUAUGGAGUCCUAAAAAAGGAGGCUGGGUCUUACCGUUGAGGUCGGUGCCGAUAGAGGAUGGGAGGGAGUCUGCAGGAGCCAAGCACCCUCAAGAAGAGGAAGAGAGAACGUUGCGGAGAUUUGAACAGCGGUCUGUGAGGUCAGACUGGACUCAGGCCUCCUCAAGAUUGGCUUCCCAUGGGACCUGCAACUGUCUGGAAACAAAAAGCCAAGCCUACCAAAAGGGGAAAUUUAAAGGAGAGCAAGAAACCAUGAAGAGAGAGAACCGAAAACGCGAAAAUGCCGACAAGCCCAAAGGAAAGCGGAGUGUCCUGUGUGCCACAUGGAACUCGGGGAAAGGAAAUGAUUAAAGCCGUGAGGUUUCCUGGCUCUUCGUGGUGUUUACGCUGCUGGUAGAAUGGCUGAGGGCCAUUGUGAGUACUUCAGAGGCUCGAUGACCGAUGACCGAUGCGAGGGUGAAGACUCUUCCACUGCUCUUUCAGCCCCUCUGCUCCGGUGCUGAGAAGCAGGUACUAUGCCCAUUGCUCAAACCCCAAGGCGCUGAUUAAAACCCAUCUAACUCUUUUCUGGGAGUUGCCCUUCUAGACUUGACCUUGGGAAUGGCAGCCAUCUCCCUGUUGACAGCAUUACAGAUGCUGAGGUUGCCUAGCUGAGCUAACACUCAACUUGGGUGUGGCCUUCUGUGUCUCCCUCUUACCCUGCAAAUGUAUGAAGCAAAUGGCUUCAGAUUUCUGUACCAUCCUGUCAGCCAGGAGGAAAGGAGAGUCCCAUAUCUUGGUCAAGAGGAACCUGCCCACAAACUCCAUUUUAGGUUUCCUAGUGUUCUGACUUGAGGAAUAUGCUGAUUUUCCCCCUGCUACCAACCUAGAAGGCAUCACUGCUUAAUAAUCUAGUAUUCCAGAAAUGCAUUUUCCCUUGUAGCAUAUGCUUUUAGACUUUAGAAGGUGCCAGAAUCACCUAACUGGCUGGGGACUGGUCAGUGGGCACAAUAGAUAAAGGAGUUUCCAUCUAGUCUAAUGAUCUGUUCCAUCUCUGUGAUUUCCUUCAUGACAUGGCAGGCACACACCCUCCCCACAAACUAAAUAAGUGUUAUAAACAAAACAACAAAACAAAAACAAAACCGGAGUCCUCAUUUCUGAUCCAGCAGGUCUGAGGCAGAGCUUAAGAACCUGCAUUUCUUAUAACUUCCCAAGUGAUGCGUAGGCUGGUCCAGGGAAUAGACUUUCAGAACCAUUGCCAUAUAUCC